GAGUAACCAAAACAGUAUCAAUGAAAAACAGCUUGACUAGGGCAUUCAGUCAGAAGACAACAAUUUGCAAGUAUAAAUAAUAGCAAUAAAUAUCGAGAACAUGGGAUGAAAUGUCCUUGAAAGUGAGUCCGUUGGUUGUGGGGCCAUUUCGAUGAUGGGGUAAAUGAAGUUGAGUGAAGUUAUUCCCUUUUGUUCAAGAGCCUGAUGGAUGAGAGGUAGUGACUGCUCUUUAGUCCUCAGGCUUGCAAGAAACCACAGCAUUUCAUGGAGAUGUGCUCAGCAGUUGGGAGGGCUUUAUACAUGAUGGACUGGGCCGUAUCCAUGACAUUUUGUAGGACUUUCCGUUCAACUACAAAUAAGAAAAAAAAUUAAAUUAAUAUCUUUAAAAACAUGAAAUUUUUAAAAAAGAUGUUAGUUAAAAGCAAGGUUCUAUGAGUAUGCUCGCAAGACAAUGAAUCUCAUGGUUGUAUUUGGUGACAUAUAUGUACUUAGAUAAUAAAUUUACUUUGAACUUUAAAUAGAUAGGUUUUGAGUUGAUGUUUAGAAGUGUCAGCUGAGUCUGGAUCUCUUAUAGAUUUAGGUAUUGAAUUCCACAGUUUAGCAGCUUUGGCCCUUGCCCAGGGCCUCAAUCAUCCAGAAUAUAAGGAUAUUCAAGCUGGAAGAAACAUCUAAAGGAAAGUCGAUCAAGGUUUUCUACAGAGGCAUUAUUGGUUUUGUGGCUCACUUUGAUACUAGUUUGUGGUUUAGGCCUUUAAGGAUAUCCAGAUCCCAAUUCCAUUCGGUGAUCUUGGGUAGACAAUCUUACAAUGUCUAUAUCUGCUAGCUGUUUCCUCUACACACAUGCGUAUAUCCUGGUUCAGCAAGACCAGGGAGCUGAUCAUUGACUUCAGGAGGAGGAAACCAGAGGUCCAUGAGCCAGUAAUCAUUGGAGGAUCAGAGGUGGAGAGGGCCAGCAUCAUUAAAUUCCUUGGUGUUAUCAUUUCGGAGGACCUGUCCUAGGCCCAGGACAAUUACAAAGAAAUUACAAAGACAAUUACAUGGCAGCACCUCUACUUCCUUAGGAGUUCACGAAGAUUCAGCAUGACAUCUAAAGCUGUGACAAAUUUCUAUAGAUGUGUAGUGUAGAGUGUAUUGACUGGCUGCAUCACAGCCUGGUAUGGAAACACCAAUGCCCUUGAACAGAAUACACUACAAAAAGUGGUGGAUAUGGCCCAGUCCAUCACAGGUAAAGCCGUCUCCACCACUGAGCACAUCUGUAUGUAGUACUGUUGCAGGAAAACAGCAUCAUCUUCAGGGACCCCCACCACCCAGGGCAUGCUCUCUUCUUGCUGCUAGCAUCAGGAAGAAGGUACAGGAGUCUCAGAAUCCACAGUACCAGGUUCAAGAACAAUUACUACCUCCCAACCAUCAUUCUCUUGAACCAGAGCAGAUAACUUCACUCAACUUCACUCACCCCGUCAUUGAAAGGGUUCCCACAGCCAAUGGUUUCACUUUCAAGGUCUCUUCAUCUAUUGUCCUCAAUAUUUAUUGUUUAUUUAUUUAUUGUUAUUAUUUAUUCCUUUUUGUAUUUUCACAGUUGUCUUUUGCGCACUGGUUGAACUCCCAAGAUGGGUGCAGUCUUCCAUUGAAUCUGUAAACACGAGGAAAUAUGCAGGAAUCGACCACCACAGUGAAGCCAGGUAGAAUUUUGCAGGCCUGGGGCAUCCGAACAGCGGAAAGACAAGUCUGAACUGGUCACAGUGAGGCACCCUGAAUCUGAUUGAGUUGACAGAAGACCUGGAGAAAAUCAGUGAUUAGCACUUUUGCCUUAAGCCGGGGGUCGGCAACCCGCGGCUCCGGAGCCGCAUGUGGCUCUUUUACGUCUGUGCUGCGGCUCCCUGUUGCUUUGGGAAAUAAUUGGUUGUGGCGACCCUUUUCCUGGCACAUCCGAACCGACUCACAAUUAGAUAGCCUACGGGGGUUUGCGAGCACAGAGCUUUGGAGCCUCUGCGCCAUGGGGGGCAGGUUGAGGGAGGCUUAAAAGUGAGGCUGAAGAUUUCGAAUAAAGUUUUUUCCUUCGACUGCA